AAAAAAAAAGAGAGAAAAAAUGGUUAUCGAUAUUUGGGCUUAGAUAACUAGUGGGUUUGAACUGCUUAGUAUAAACUUGAAUGUGAAAGCACUCAUUAGUAGAGAAUCAUCACAUGACUAGAGAUUGAUAUUACCAAUUAGACCCAACCGAACUGGAGCGGGAAAAGAAAUGAGUGAAUUGAGAGCAACCUUAGAUUUAUGCUUCAGGGAAAGAAAUGAAUAUCCAUUUGAGGAGUGUAAAUUUCAGGAGUGGGAAAGGAAAUAUUUGACCACAAAGGGUCGAGUUGGAGCCAAUUUGAAGAUUUUUCCAUCUUGACAACUUUUCCUAAUUUAAAUGAUAAUUGAAAGUGACUAUACACAUACACACCGAUCGAACAUUAGAUCAACUCAAAUUAUUUUUUUUAGCAUUAUUUGGAGCAUAUUUGUGAAUUGAUUAUACAAUUUUACACUCAUUGAUAUUCUUGGCAAGCUAUUUACUGUGUUGACUAUUAUCACUUUUGCUUGAUUGUGUUGUAGAUAAUUUUGCUCGGGACGAGCAAAAGCUUAAGUUUGGGGUGUGAUAAGUGUAUUUUUGUACACUUAUUGGGUACUUAAUUUGAUAUAAUUAUUGAUUAAAUGAAUAAAAUUCUACUCACAAUUGUGUAAUAUUCGUUGUUGUAGGCUAAAAAUCACUCAAGAGAACAAGGCAAAAGAAGGAAAAAUGGACUAAAAGCGUACAACAUUUGUGACUUUGGGCCAAGGCAAACAAGUCAAAAAGUAAAGGACCUUGGGGUGCAAUCUAUGGAGGGCAUAAUUGAAAGAAAAGUCAAAAUCUAGGGACCAAAUUGUACAAUUAUCCUAUGGACUGAGCUGCAAAUUGACCAAAAUUCUGUAUUUUGGUUGCUGGACAGAUUCUUGGGCGCUGCAGCGUUUUUUUAUUUAAAAAGAAUCUUGGGGACCAUUUUGUCUUAUUUUCGAAACUUCAGGGACCAAAGCUGCAAUUUUCCUUAGGUUUUAAUGUUAAAAACAGCAGCUGGGCAGGAUUCAGACGGCUUCAUUAUUUUGGGACGCAGCUUUUGCCUGGAACGAUUCUACUUCUUCUUUCUUUUUUAUUUUGUUUUCACUUUCAUUUUCGUUUCUUUUUCUUGGUUAUUUUGGAGAUACAACAUAGACCUCAAGGAGUUGGCAAAUGAUUUGGCAAAGCAUUGGGAAAAAUCAUAGCCAAUCUACAAAAAUGGGUUUUAUCUAUAUCUUUGUAUUUUCUCCAUUAUUUAGCCAUAUUUGUAAUACAUUGGAUGAAUAUUCUCCUUGAUUAUCAU
rnacentral:lncRNA from 1 species